rnacentral:pre_miRNA from 1 species
UGUAAACAUCCCCGACUGGAAGCUGUCUAUCUGCAGAGCUUUCAGUCUGAUGUUUGCUUC